rnacentral:rRNA from 1 species
CAGUAGCCGCGGUAAUACGAAGGGUGCAAGCGUUAAUCGGAAUUACUGGGCGUAAAGCGCACGUAGGCGGCUUGGUAAGUUAGAGGUGAAAGCCUGGAGCUCAACUCCAGAAUUGCCUUUAAGACUGCCGAGCUAGCAGGUGAGAGAGGUAAGUGGAAUUCCGAGUGUAGAGGUGAAAUUCGUAGAUAUUCGGAAGAACACCAGUGGCGAAGGCGGCUUACUGGCUCAUACUGGACGCUGAGGUGCGAAAGCGUGGAGAGCAAACAGGAUUAGAUACCCCCGUAGUCCCUGUCUCUUAUAC